rnacentral:rRNA from 1 species
UGUUAGGGCACGACACCGGAAAGGGAGCCUGAAAAACGGCUACCACAUCCAAGGAAGGCACCAGGCCCGCAAAUUACCCAUUCCCGACACGGGGAGGUGGUGACAAUAAAUAACAAUACAGGGUUCUUUUGGAUCUUGUAAUUGGAAUGAGUACAAUUUAAAUCUCUUAACGAGGAACAAUUGGAGGGCAAGUCUGGUGCCAGCAGCCCGCGGUAAUUCCAGCUCCCAAUAGCGUAUAUUAAAGUUGUUGCAGUUAAAAAGCUCGUAGUUGAAUUUCGGGAUCAAUAUUUCGGUCAUGCCGUUGGUAUGCACUGUUAUCAUUGAUUUCUCACCUUCUAAAGAACCGUAACGCCAUUAAUUUGGUGUUACGGGGAAUUAGGACUGUUACCUUGAAAAAAUUAGAGUGUUUAAAGCAGGCUCACGCUUGAAUACAUAGCAUGGAAUAAUGAAAUAGGACAUCCGAUUCUAUUUUGUUGGUUUCUAGGAUCGAUGUAAUGAUUAAUAGGGAUAGUUGGGGGCAUUAGUAUUCAAUUGUCAGAGGUGAAAUUCUUGGAUUUAUUGAAGACUAACUACUGCGAAAGAAUUUGCCAAGGAUGUUUUCAUAAAUCAAGAACGAAAGUUAGGAGGAAGAAGACGAUCAGAUACCGUCGUAGUCUUAACCAUAAACUAUGCCGACUAGGGAUCGGAUGAUGU